CAUGAGCAUAUUGAAUCAGAGAAUCAUGAAUUCCAUCAGUGAAAGAAUCCCAAGAAACCACCUAGUCCAGUCUACAUUCAGACAUAGAAGGCUAUGGGUUGCUUGAAGCCAAGAGCUGGGAGAAUCCACAAUGGAGGUCCAUUCCAGAAGAUUCAGUAGUUGCUCAGCCCAAAAAUAUGGAAGAGAGAUCAAGGAUGUAGCCUCAGUCCUAAGGGAUGGACUGGAACAUUGCAAAGGAUGUACUCACUGAAGACUGGAGCUCAUCAGAAUGGAGUCCUUUGUUAUUUUGCUUUUUAUUCCAUCUAGGCUACAAGCAACCACAUCUGGAUGGGCCUUUCUCAGGUUGCUGACCAACAUGUCAUUCAUCUACAGAUGCAUUUUGAACUGUACCUUAUUAAUCUUCUAGGCAUUUUUUAAUCAAUUCAAGUGGACAUAUUAUGAAUAAGUAUCACACCAUUAAGUUUCAUAUUUUGAUCAUCAAUAUGAUUUUAUCAGUUGAUCAAUAUCUCUUGGUAUCUUACCAUUGUAGCUCAAAUUUAAUACAGUUAUACUUCCUAAUAUUUCUAUAAUCUUCUGUUUUUGCCUUAUCUUUUAUUUUGUGCUUUUUUGUCCUUGUAAUAGUUAUAUUUUUAGCAAUAAAACAUACAUAUUUCUAUUUUUACUACACAAUUGCUAAACAAUAUCUACUAAUUGUUUGCUAGAUAGUAUGAAAAAAUUAAUUCAUACAGAACUCUUCUUCUGACUUCUAUCAGUUAUAAAAUGAACAUUUAUGAGGUUGUGUUCUAGGCACACUAACACUAAUGUUUUAAAAUUAAAAAGAAUUGUUGGAUGCUUGUCUUCUAUUCAUUCUAAAUGUAUAAAAGUAGUGAAAACCAUAUAUGAUUAAGUAAAGUAUACAUUUAAAUAAAAAAUACUGUAAUAUAAUUUCAUGAAAAAAAGAAACUCAAAGCUAUGUCAAAUUCAUGCCACUCAAAAUUUUCUACAUGCCUAGGUCAAAUUCGUUCCUUCCUUUUGUACUCAAGAAUUCAAUAAAA